UGAACGCUGGCGGCGUGCUUAACACAUGCAAGUCGAACGGUGAACACGGAGCUUGCUCUGUGGGAUCAGUGGCGAACGGGUGAGUAACACGUGAGCAACCUGCCCCUGACUCUGGGAUAAGCGCUGGAAACGGCGUCUAAUACUGGAUAUGUGACGUGACCGCAUGGUCUGCGUCUGGAAAGAAUUUCGGUUGGGGAUGGGCUCGCGGCCUAUCAGCUUGUUGGUGAGGUAAUGGCUCACCAAGGCGUCGACGGGUAGCCGGCCUGAGAGGGUGACCGGCCACACUGGGACUGAGACACGGCCCAGACUCCUACGGGAGGCAGCAGUGGGGAAUAUUGCACAAUGGGCGCAAGCCUGAUGCAGCAACGCCGCGUGAGGGACGACGGCCUCGGUUGUAACCGUACUUUAGUCAGGAAGAAGCGAAGUAGACGGUACCUGCAGAAAAGACGCCGGCGUAACUACGCGCCAGCAGC
rnacentral:rRNA from 1 species